rnacentral:rRNA from 1 species
UAGGGAAUCUUCCGCAAUGGACGCAAGUCUGACGGAGCAACGCCGCGUGAGUGAAGAAGGAUUUCGGUUCGUAAAACUCUGUUGUUAGAGAAGAACAGCGCAUAGAGUAACUGUUAUGCGUGUGACGGUAUCUAACCAGAAAGCCACGGCUAACUACGUGCCAGCAGCCGCGGUAAUACGUAGGUGGCAAGCGUUGUCCGGAUUUAUUGGGCGUAAAGCGAGCGCAGGCGGUCCAUUAAGUCUGAUGUGAAAGCCCCCGGCUCAACCGUGGAGGGUCAUUGGAAACUGGUUGACUUGAGUGCAGAAGAGGAGAGUGGAAUUCCAUGUGUAGCGGUGAAAUGCGUAGAUAUAUGGAGGAACACCAGUGGAGAAGGCGACUCUCUGGUCUGUAACUGACGCUGAGGCUCGAAAGCGUGGGUAGCAAACAGG